rnacentral:piRNA from 1 species
UGAGAGCUGUACUACGUGUGCACAAGGCUUU